UCCAGGUUCACCGUGGGAAAAACCCUUUGCUCAGGGGCUGUCUGGCAGAAGGUGCUGGCAUCCACACCCUUGUCAGAACCCUCCAUAGACUGAGCAGCUAGAUCACCUAAGCUGAUGGAGCUUUCCUGCAAUACCAGACACUGGCAUCCAUGAAGCGAAGUCUUAGGGUGGGCAUUUUGUGGAAAAGAGAGAGGAAAGAAGGAUUUCUUGGGGUUAACAGAAAGUGGAUGUAGAUAAAGGGAAUUCUCCAGUCUUGCACCGCUAACAUGGUGCAAUAUUCACAAACAGACAUGAUUCGUGCUUGUGGACAAAACUGACCUCGGAGCUGAGUCAAGCAUUGAAAAAUCCUGGAACUUUCAAUAUUUAUGUAGCCAAAGUGUCUCUCUUGCUCACUCACUUGCUUGCUUGUGUACCACUAAUUGAGCAACUACUAUGGGCCAGAUGCUCUGGAAAAUGUUGUUCUGAAGAGGAGUACUAAUCUUCACCAGUGGUGCACCUAGCUGUAUUUUGCACAUUAGGAAACAGACCCAGAGGCACACCUCCCAGAUGCAUCUUCCUCAUGGGGUUGUCGCAGGGUUUAAGAAAAUGAACUCAUAUAAAGGGCUCAGAAUAGUGUCUGGAUCACAGAACUCUGAAGAAUUUAUGUCAGUGAUUCUGAAGUGAGAAUGGAACAUGGAUCCAACCCCUCUAAGGCAGAAGAGAUGUGAGCAGAUUACCUUCUCUGUCCUUAAAAGGAGUGGCCCUGCAUUCCCUGAGAGGGCAUAGCUGGGGCAGUCAUCUGGACCCACCAGACAGGAGCUGAAGCUUGAUAAAAGGUGCCUGGUUCCAGUGACUAUGGAGCAGCCUGCCAGCACUAGAGGAGUCACAGAGAUGUCUAGAUGAGUCACAGAGACAUUUACAUGAC
rnacentral:lncRNA from 10 species